rnacentral:lncRNA from 1 species
CAUUGCAGCACCCCAUAGCACCCUCAACCUGAAACCACCACCCCCCCGCAACAGCCGUGCAGUGCAGCCCUGGAUAGGACACUUAGCCCACCUCACUGUUGCCAGCAAUACAGUCUGGGAUAGUUUCCCCAACAGGCUCCCCGCCGGGGGCAGUGCAGCCCCGGUUAGGGCCCCCAAACCACCCCCGGGUGCAGGCAGCACAGCCCCAGAUAGCACACCUAACCAGCCACCCAAGGUGGGCAGUGACGCCUGAGAUAGGGCCCCCAACCCGUCCCAGGCCAAGGGCAGUGCAGCCCUGGAUAGCGCACUUACCCCGACGCUUUUCUACACUCUGGCCGGUUGCAGUGUCCAUCGCUGCCACCAACCGCAGCGGGCAAGGCAAGCCAGCGAGGCAAGGCGAGGCAAGCCGGCGAGGUGGUGAGCCAGGGAGGCCAGCCACAGCCCGGUAGGCUGCAGCCUCCAGCAUGCAGUGGCUGGCACCUCCUACUCCAAGCUGGCAAUGGAGCAGCUAUGAAGUCAGAUGCCGACGAGGCUGGAAUAGUGCAACUCUAGCUCUUAACAUGCUUUAUAUACCGAGAUUAUAAACUACAUGUUCUGAUUGGAUGAGAGGAAAACACUAGGCCUACUCUGAUUGGACUUUAUUGUCACGUUCUGAUUGGUUAGCCUAAGACUUGUUCUGAUCCAAUCAGAACAUGAAAAUAACGUCCAAUCAGAGUAGGCGUAGAUGUUUCUCUCAUCCAAUCAGAACGUGAAGUCCGAGAACCAGGCCUGCACAACCCCCCAGUAUAUAAGGUAUGCUAAGGGGGCGUCGCGCUGUUGCAGGCUAUCGUGUGUUAACCUGUACUUCUGCCGCAGAGUUUGGAGAAAGCGGCAGCAGAUUGUGCUGCCGCAGGCUGGAGCCUGGAACCUGGAGCCCUGGAGCCUUGAAUGGUGUGUGGUGGCAAUGGAGAGAGGCAGCUGGCAGUGACAGCUGCUCCGUGCUUGGCUACAGGAAGGAAAGAAGGAGAAAGCACCUACCAUAGGCUGGAGGCUAGAGCCUGCAGGACUGCGGCUGGCCUCGCUGGCUCGCCUCCCUGGCUGGCCUCGCUGUGGUUGGUGGCAGCGACGGAUACUGCAGCUGGCCAGAGUGUAGAAAGGCAAUGGGGCUUUUUUGGCUGUGUGUGUCCAGCUGUUCCAUGCCAGGAGGAGGAGGAGUUACAUGCUGGAAGCUUGCAGAUAGCCUGGGGCUGCUGCUCGCCUUGCUGCGGUUGGUGGCAGCUACCGAGACUACCUCGCACCAGAGCGAAUGCAUUCCUUCUACUUACAAACAAAAAAGUUAACUAAAAUAGCCUGAG